rnacentral:tRNA from 1 species
GCUAUAGCUCAGCUGGGAGAGCGCCUGCAUGGCAUGCAGGAGGUCAGCGGUUCGAUCCCGCUUAGC